rnacentral:lncRNA from 1 species
ACUAAAUUAUAUUUUACUUAUUAUUUGAUGUUCUUGAGAAUACGUUUCUUUUGAUAUUGUAAUUUAGAUUUUUAGUAAAUAAUUUAGUCCAAAUAUGUUUGAAAUAUUUAAAUUUAAAUCAAAAACAACUGAAGAGAUACAGACAGAUACUACUGAUCAACUUGAAGUAAUUGUCGACAACUCGGAUUUAGACUUGGGUGAUUUAGAGUCUGGUACUAAAAGACUAAAGCUUAAGGAAUUCCCUUUAACACAAUUUGGUACUCAAAAACGUGCCUUCAAUUCUGCAUAUUAUAAGAAUAAUAAUUGGCUCGAAUACAGUAUUAAUUAGGAUGCCAUAUUUUGUUGUACAUGUCGAAUAAUUGGAAACAAUCAAACUGAACCUACAUUCACAACCAUUGAGUUUAAAAAUUGAAAAAAGGAAUUUUAAGGAAGCCUGUGUUUUAUUUUCCAAGCACAAACCCAAGUUUUCUGAAAUAUUUACUAAAGACACAAAUUACACUAGUCACCAUAUACAGUAUGAAAUUAUUGAUAUAUGUGCAAAUAGUGUUAGAGAUUUAAUUACAGAAGAAGUUGGUACAGGAACAUUCAGUAUAUAUAAUGUGCGAUGAAGCACGUUGCUAUAAAAAUGAGCAAAUGUCUCUAUGCAUUCGAUAUGUAAAAGAUUUGAAUAUUCAAGAAAAGUUUCUUGGAUUUAAUGACUGUUUCGAUAAACAAGAUGUUCAAGCUUUAAGUGACCAAAUUUUAUAUUACUUCCAGACAUGUGAAUUAAGUGAAAAAGCUCAAAUAGUUUGACAGUCAUAUGAUGGUGUGAAUGUGAUGUCUGGAAAAUUUAAUGGAGUCCAAUCAAAAAUAAAGACCAAAUUUCCCCAUGCCACUUUUCCACACUGUAUGGCUCAUAGAAUCAAUAUAGUUGUUGUGGAUAUGUGUAAAGCUGUUAAAGAAAUCUCAAGCUUUUUCAAUAAUAUUGAGUUGGGGGCGAAUCCAGACCAAUAUAACGGGGGAGGAGGCGAUUAUGAUAUAGAUAUAUAUAUAUAUAU